rnacentral:rRNA from 1 species
GACAAACGCUGGCGGCGUGCUUAACACAUGCAAGUCGAACGGUCUUCCUUCGGGGAGAUAGUGGCGGACGGGUGAGUAACACGUAGAUAACCUGCCCUUAUGUGGGGAAUAACCCCUCGAAAGAGGAGCUAAUACCGCAUGAGUUCUCUGUUGUUAGACAGAGAAGAAACCUCGGUUUAUACCUGGGGCGAUGAGGAGGGGUCGUGCGGCGGAUUAGC